rnacentral:tRNA from 1 species
GGGCGGUUAGCUCACUUGGUUAGAGCGCAUGCUCGACACGCAUGAGGUAAUAGGUUCGAUUCCUAUACCGCCCA